UCGUCAGCUAGUCGACUCAUGUCUAGUAUAAGCACUUGUACUGUGAAACUGCGAAUGGCUCAUUAAAUCAGUUAUCGUUUAUUUGAUUGUACCUUACUACAUGGAUACCUGUGGUAAUUCUAGAGCUAAUACAUGCGAAAGAUCCCGACUUCACGGAAGGGAUGUAUUUAUUAGACUAAAAACCAAUGCGGGCCUCGGUCCGCUUGCUUGGUGAUUCAUGAUAACUUUUCGAAUCGCAUGGCCUUGCGCCGGCGAUGUUUCAUUCAAAUUUCUGCCCUAUCAACUGUCGAUGGUAAGGUAGUGGCUUACCAUGGUUGCAACGGGUGACGGAGAAUUAGGGUUCGAUUCCGGAGAGGGAGCCUGAGAAACGGCUACCACAUCUAAGGAAGGCAGCAGGCACGAAAAUUACCCAAUCCCGAUUCGGGGAGGUAGUGACAAGAAAUAACGGUACGGGGCCUUUAUAGGUCUCGCAAUCGGAAUGAGAACAAUUUAAAUCCUUUAACGAGGAUCAAUUGGAGGGCAAGUCUGGUGCCAGCAGCCGCGGUAAUUCCAGCUCCAAUAGCGUAUAUUAAAGUUGUUGCAGUUAAAAAGCUCGUAGUUGGAUUUCGGAGCGGGCCCGUCGGUCCACCGCAAGGUGAGCUACUGGCGGGUCUGUUCUUCUUCGCAAAGACUGCAGGUGCACUUCGCUGUGUGCUUGUCGGAUUUGUGACGUUUACUUUGAAAAAAUUAGAGUGUUCAAAGCAGGCUUUCGCUUGAAUACAUGAGCAUGGAAUAAUGGAAUAGGACUUUGGUUCUAUUUUGUUGGUUUCUAGGACCGAAGUAAUGAUUAAGAGGGACAAACGGGGGCAUCUGUAUUUCGUUGUCAGAGGUGAAAUUCUUGGAUUUGCGAAAGACAAACAACUGCGAAAGCACUUGCCAAGAGUGUUUUCAUUAAUCAAGAACGAAAGUUAGAGGAUCGAAGACGAUCAGAUACCGUCCUAGUUCUAACCAUAAACGAUGUCGACUAGGGAUCGGCGGGCGUUAUUUUAUGACCCCGUCGGCACCUUACGGGAAACCAAAGUUUUUGGAUUCCGGGGGUAGUAUGGUUGCAAAGCUGAAACUAAAGGAAUGACGCAACCAGAGCUAUGAUGUGUUGCCAACGGGGG
rnacentral:rRNA from 1 species